rnacentral:lncRNA from 1 species
UCUGAAGUAGCUCGGAUGAUCAAAUAACUGCUAGGUAAGGGUUGAGUAAUGGAUCCAACCGCUUCACCUUUUGGACCCUUCACUGCCCAAAUAGAUUGCUCCAAAGGAUGGAAAAGUUUGAAACAAAAGCCAUCCUUUUUUGAUGGACGUUCAAUGAUUUCACAGGCAUUCAGAAGAACUGUUCCUACCCACUGACCAUUUUUUUGGGUUUUAUAGAUCAGUAGCACCCCAGGUUUCAACAC